UAGUAGUGUUUUUUUAUCUGAGACAACCAGUAAAAUGUUACAUCUGAUAAAGUUGUCAGAUGUACAGUUACUUUCGAAAGUUUUGAGCUUAUGCAGCCACCGUUUGUGGUAGAUGGUGGCAGAUUGUGGUAAAUUGCGUCUUGGCUGACACUUAAAUAACGUGCCAUAGAAUUAUGCGGAACCACGCAAGAUGUGAUGCAGGAUGCGCAACAUUUAAGCUUAUAGGGUUCCAAAAAAGGACUGCAAAAACAUACGAAAUAGGUUGUUCCAACCUGUAAACGAACAGUAUGCUUUCAGUCGCGUGUACUAGCUCUUCACCUGUCAACCGGAAGUUGAUGAUGUUGCUAUGCAACCUCUUGCUAGAUAGUUAGCAUAACAAAUUACUAGUUAGACAUUUUACGACUUCAGGUGUAUUCUUCAAUUCAAUCUGGAGAACCAGAUGGGCAUGGUUUGCAUAUUUAGGGCUAUUCCAUUGGUUCUACUGUGCUCGGCAAGCUCAAUUAAGUGUAACAAAUACAGAACCCAGGUCUGAUGGCUACCUGUCUUUUGCUCCCCCACCUCCAAGAGUGUUUCUCUAACGGAACGAUGACUGCGCUGGCGAGCUCCCGGUCUGAACCCCGGUCAGCUGACCCUGAGCGACCCCGCCUGUGGUCCCACCUACAGUGAUGAUCGCUUCGCCUGCUUCCACUUCACUGUGAACUCCUGUGGCACCACCAGGAAGGUUAAAGGUUUCCUGCUACUAUGUGGUCAACAUCACUCGCACAUUGGCCUUCCUGACCAGGCCGCUUGACAACGAGCCUUUUGCAGAGACUGGGACGGGUCAACUAAUGUUCAGAAUGAGACUCGUUCAGGACGCCUCGUAUAACACGUUCCACCAGGAGGAGGACUAUCCAGUGGUGAGGUACCUGAGACAGCCUCUGCACUUUGAGGUGGAGCUGACCAGGUCCUCUGACCCCAAGGUAGCGCUGGUGCUUGACCACUGCUGGGCCACCCUCAACGAGGACCGUGACUCCCGACCCCGGUGGAAUCUCAUCAUUAAUGGGUAACAUGUUGUUUUUGGGCCUAAACAAGUGUUAUUCCACAGGUGUGGUUCCUGAGUAAUUAGCAACCUAUCAUGCUUGGCAGGCCAUUUACUUUGGCUACCGUGGCUAUGCCCCCAUCCAUAUGUCAUGAGUGGUCACAAUGGUUUGAGCCAUGUGCGGUCUGUCACCAGAUCUCCACCCAAUAUAACACUUAUGGGAGAGUCUGGCGCGUACGAUCACAUGCUUGUUAUCACUGACUGGUCCCUGCAGCGUACCAUUGGAACAUGUAAAUCUAGUUUAGAAAAUAUGGCAGCCAUGUUUGUCAAGCAAGAACUCCCUAAUCCCAGAAUGCCGUUCACUGUGCCCAUUUCCUGAGGUCUUAACUUAGUUUGGCCACUUCAGCAUGUGACAAAUCUGUGUACUUGUUACGGCGUACACAUGACAAGUAGUUUACAGUUAACUAAUCAAAAAGCCAAUACAACCUUAGCACGAAAGCUAAACAGAGUUGCAAGAUAUAGCUCAAUCCAUUUUGGGAGGUGAAGUCCUUGGGGGAAGGUAUUAUGGAGAGGAUGAUGCAGGAAAUAUUAAUAAGAUGGGGAUUUAUCAACAAUAAAUGGCGGGGCAGACAGUUUUUCUAAGCUAAAUAUCCCUGGAAAGGGGGUCUGAUCUGGCAACCCUGAGGUACCAUAGUUUACACUCUGAUGCCGUGUUCAAAUCAACUAACGAAUUCAGUGCAUUCAAGACAAUGGGGGUACUCCAGUUGAGAUCACCAUUAGUCUGACAGACGCGUACGUGAUAACCUGACUGCAUUGUAUGGCGUUAGCUGUAGCUCAUAUUCAGUACCACCUUCAAAAGUGUUUUACACACGUGUCCAUUACAAUCUAGGCAAGAAUCAGAAAGCAUGAAUAAAAUGCUAAGUACAUUAUACUUACGGUACACUACAGUAGAAACGACAGCACGUUACACAGAAAAUAAGGCACUUUGAUCAGAAUGCACGCAUGUCCACAGUUAUUUGUAAGGAACACAAUAAAUGUGCAAGGACUGUAUACUUGAUCUGUGGAAGUGCUUGGGCUUUCUUUUGAAGGAAAGUUUGUCCGGCUCAUUAAAUUCUCAAAUGGAAAUGAUCUGCAACAGUGAAAUGGGCUACAUUUGUGAAUGAAUGAGGCAAAAUUAGAAGUUGAAACGGCCUAUAGAAAAUUAGCAGGUAGUGUGCCUUGGUCUGAGGUCAGCGUGGGUUAAAUGUCCACAUGUUGGAACGGUGAGUGCAUUCUGACAUCACGCGCAUAAAAUCAACUCCCACUGAGGCGACUGUUGAAGAUAUUUGGAACUCGCGUGUGAAAAGGUUAAUGUUGGCGUUACCUACACCUUUUUACUCAAUGUUAUCCUUUUGGUUGGCUAGAGUUCAGUGUUGUGCCAAACUGAUGGUCAGUCAAAUGGAAAUCAAGAGCGGCUGGCAAGCUUGGCUUGCCUUUCCGAUUGGUUUCAAACAACUGCUCUUAACACUGACUGAAUAGUUGUUGUUUUUUUGUUGAAUUCAGGCACAAGUGACUGUCCUAGAGGAAUGCGCUAAUUGGGAGUUGCUAAACAUGAACAAAUACCACGGUCAAGUGUAGCAGCAUCUUGCUAACCUUAUUUAGCUAGCUAAUGUUCAUGUAAAUCAAAUCAAAUCAA